UACGUAGGUGGCGAGCGUUGUCCGGAUUUACUGGGCGUAAAGGGAGCGUAGGCGGACUUUUAAGUGAGAUGUGAAAUACUCGGGCUCAACUUGAGUGCUGCAUUUCAAACUGGAAGUCUAGAGUGCAGGAGAGGAGAAUGGAAUUCCUAGUGUAGCGGUGAAAUGCGUAGAGAUUAGGAAGAACACCAGUGGCGAAGGCGACUUUCUGGACGAUAACUGACGUUGAGGCACGAAAGUGUGGGGAGCAAACAGG
rnacentral:rRNA from 1 species